CUGAGGCUGAUUAAGCUGUUUCUUUACUCUUGGGAGUUCAGUGUACAAUGGUUACAAACAACGACCUCCUUGGUAGUACCCAUUUUUUGUAUAGGUUUCCCUAAGGAACCUUGGAGACGGUG
rnacentral:snoRNA from 1 species